UAGGAGCUAGCCGUCGAAGGUGGGACAAAUGAUUGGGGUGAAGUCGUAACAAGGUAGCCGUAUCGGAAGGUGCGGCUGGAUCACCUCCUUUCUAAGGA
rnacentral:rRNA from 3 species